GAUGAAGAACGCAGCGAAAUGCGACAAGUAAUGUGAAUUGCAGAAUUCCGUGAAUCAUCGAAUCUUUGAACGCACAUUGCGCCCCCUGGUAUUCCGGGGGGCAUGCCUGUUCGAGCGUCAUUUCACCACUCAAGCCUCGCUUGGUAUUGGGCAACGCGGUCCGCCGCGUGCCUCAAAUCGACCGGCUGGGUCUUCUGUCCCCUAAGCGUUGUGGAAACUUUCGCUAAAGGGUGUUCGGGAGGCUACGCCGUAAAACAACCCCAUUUCUAAGGUUGACCUCGGAUCAGGUAGGGAUACCCGCUGAACUUAAGCAUAUCAAUAAGCGGAGGA
rnacentral:misc_RNA from 1 species